ensembl:lncRNA
GCAGAUUUUAUUUACAAAAUUCCACAACACCCCCCCACCCUCACACUGUGAACCUGAAUUGAAUAUUCAGAAGAAAAUGAAUGGAUAGACUGACAUUUGUUUAAAUACUUCUAGAAAUCUGAGCUGUUGGUGUGGUAAUAAUAUUAGAGCUGGCAAUCUUUCUUACUGAAUCUCUACUCUGAGUCAUGCUACCUGAGAUUAAUUCUAUGUUUACCUGACAGCCUGGACAAAUGUGCUGUGUGAAGGAUGUAAAUCAAAUCAGAUCUUAACUGCUUACAUUUAAGGAUCCUGGUCAUAUUUAAUUGUAAUAUGAACCAAUGAUUUUCUGAUUGCUGAUUCUAAGAGAGUCUUUGUGGAAAUCCUGUUUGGCUUUUUGUCAUUUUAAUUCUCUUUUCCGUUUUCCAGAACAGUUCUCCACAGUCGCUGUCCACAUGGGUCAGUGGGACCAAGAAGCACUCUGCUAAUGUGAGACUCUGACCAGCAACAUCCAGCAAGACCCAGACAGCGUUUUCUAUCUCCCAGCUGGAGUUUUUUGUUUGUCUGUGACUGGAGAGUCAGAUUUUUGUUGAAGCUGGAGAAACAGAGAGGUUAAUACACGCUACUGAUCCCUGAUGGGAGAAUCAUCACCUCUGCCAACAAAGAAGCCUGGUGGAUGUUUGUUUGCAGUCUGAUGAUGGGACACCAUGCUCUGCAUCUUCAAAGUUUGUCUCUUGAUUAUUAUUCAUACACAGUAAUGUGAAGUAUGCUUAUAUCUAGUAUAACUGGACCAACCUGGUGCUCUUCAUUUAUGGAGGCUGUUGAGUCUGAAUGUUGGGUGUUGUGUAUCUCGUGUUCUCUGGGCUUUGUUGUCCUCAGUCUUUUUGCAGGAUCAGAAAACAAAACCAGGAGGCGCGCAAAUGUUUCUUCUCCAAUUGGAUGAUGAUAAGACUGUGACACGGGAUGCCACCUUUAGUCUUGUGAUGAAGCAAAGCUCAGGAAGAAGUGUGAUUAAAUGGUACCCACAUGUGUGCUGCUGAGAAGGAUGUACAGGGGCACCUGCAGCCAAAUCCAAGCCUCCUCAGAGCAGAGCGGCAGUUUGUGCUCACAGAUGGUGACGGUGUGGAGAGACGGUGGUGUUUCCUCAGAAGAACUAGCAGAGUCACAAAGGGCACGAGUCCAUCUCACCACCUUGACUUGUUGAUCAGUGGAUACACUUGUCUCCCCUUUAAAGGAGACACUCUUAGAGAGAGAUGAUCCGAGUCAUCACUAAAUAUGGACAGGAUAUCACUAUUAGACUGUCUAACCUGCCGGAGCAGCACUGAAUGACCACCACACAUGAUCAGUUCCUGCAACAUUCAGCAGCUCUGCUUUUGUGUCAAAUGUCCAACAGCUGGAGAGGAGACUAAACCAGUGUACUGGGAUGUUUCACCAACACGUGCCAGACGCUGUUCCUUCAUGGUGACAUCACCAGAGACGGCCCCGCCCACCUCAGGACCUCGUCAUUGAUCAUGAUGAUUUUAAUGAUGACAGCGAGUGGAACUAAGACUGUAAAAAUCAGAAUGUUUAGAUGCUUUCUAAUUAUUAAUGAAUACUGAGAGCCUCUUUCUGUGUUUUGUCUGUUUUGUUUGUUUUUUUACCUCAUUUGUUACUAACAAAGUUCACCAAACUCACACAGUUUACAUCCUGUAUGUUUCCAUCUUUACCAGCCACACUCUUAACUGCAUUUAAGAAAACAAACCGUAGAAAUUGUCGUUUUUCUCUUUUGUAAUUUUGUAAUUCAGUGAAUAUACUGCACUGCUUCCUUUAAUUGCGUCUCACAUUGCUUUAAGUUUUUCCAGUGUCCAGUUAUUUUUUACUGUUGUUUGAAUUCUCUGUAUGUUUGACCCUGUAGACUGUUUAAUGGACUGCUUGUCUUCCUGUUUGUAACCGACGCCUGUUUUUGACUAAAGAUUUGGAUUUCUGACUUUAACACAGCCUCUGCGUGUCCUCCCUUUGUGUCCUCUUCCUCUAUGAAUGUGUUGCAUGUGUCACAGAUUCAUUUUAUUAACAGCUUUCCC